rnacentral:rRNA from 1 species
CGGGCUGCAACUCGCCUGCAUGAAGUCGGAAUUGCUAGUAAUCGCGGAUCAGCAUGCCGCGGUGAAUACGUUCCCGGGCCUUGUACACACCGCCCGUCACACCAUGGGAGCCGGUAACACCCGAAGCCGAUAGUCUAACGAAAGAGGACGUCGUCGAAGGUGGGAUUGAUGACUGGGGUGAAGUCGUAACAAGGUACC